CGGGCUUGAAAUCAUGGCGGCGGCAGAGAGAGACCUCUGCUUCCUUCGGGCGCCAUGGUAGGUGCUGCAUGGUUGUCGUCAGCUCGUGCCGUGAGGUGUCGGCUUAAGUGCCAUAACGAGCGCAACCCUUCCCGCUGGUUGCCACCGGGUCAUGCCGGGCACUCCAGCGGCACUGCCGCCGCAAGGCGUGAGGAAGGCGGGGAUGACGUCAAAUCAGCACGGCCCUUACGUCCGGGGCCACACACGUGUUACAAUGGGGGGCACAGAAAGCUGGUGCGUGGCGACACGCAUCGAAUCAUGAAAUCCCCUCCCAGUUCGGAUCGGAGCCUGCAACCCGGCUCCGUGAAGCUGGAUUCGCUAGUAAUCGCGCAUCAGCCAUGGCGCGGUGAAUACGUUCCCGGGCC
rnacentral:rRNA from 1 species